rnacentral:lncRNA from 1 species
GAGGAGAGGUUAUUCUGCACAAAGAGAGGGAGAAUCAAGUGAGAAAUCUUGAAAAAUAGAGAAGAAAGAGUUAGGAAGAAAUUUUUAGUUGCAUGAAGAGUAGUGGUUCUAGAAGGUUUUCGAGGAAACAAUUUCGGAGUAGGAAACUAAGUCUUGAAAAGAGGUAGCGGGAGCUAACCUUUCCAAGCUUUUAUAUUAUGAUAAAUAUUUUUGUAUAACUAUUCAUGUCUUGAAAUUAUGUGCAAUUAUUGUUAAUGA